GAUGAACGCUGGCGGCGUGCCUAAUACAUGCAAGUCGAGCGAACGGACGAGAAGCUUGCUUUUCUGAUGUUAGCGGCGGACGGGUGAGUAACACGUGGAUAACCUACCUAUAAGACUGGGAUAACUUCGGGAAACCGGAGCUAAUACCGGAUAAUAUUUUGAACCGCAUGGUUCAAAAGUGAAAGACGGUCUUGCUGUCACUUAUAGAUGGAUCCGCGCUGCAUUAGCUAGUUGGUAAGUUAACGGCUUACCAAGGCAACGAUGCAUAGCCGACCUGAGAGGGUGAUCGGCCACACUGGAACUGAGACACGGUCCAGACUCCUACGGGAGGCAGCAGUAGGGAAUCUUCCGCAAUGGGCGAAAGCCUGACGGAGCAACGCCGCGUGAGUGAUGAAGGUCUUCGGAUCGUAAAACUCUGUUAUUAGGGAAGAACAUAUGUGUAAGUAACUGUGCACAUCUUGACGGUACCUAAUAAGAAAGCAACGGCUAACUACGUG
rnacentral:rRNA from 1 species